GUUCCAUAUUUUCACGGAAUGACCACCAUUGAUUUUCGAUGUCGUUGUUUUGUUAAUAACUUUCCACUGAAAUAAAUUCUUGUAAAAUUAUAUAUUUAUUAACUGUGACGAUGAGAAAAUACGAUGACACGAUACGAAUGAAUGCUGAGUGAUAUUAUUUUGGCAAAUUGGAUCUUUAACUUGAAACUUUAAUUAUCUUUUUUUCAAUUUAUUGCUGCUCCCCGAAUAGACUGUCAAAAUGGAGAGAAUUCAGCUCUUCAAGAAGUUCCUGAUGCCUGGUGGGCUUUGCGCGGCAGUACCAAUGGCCAAACCUCAGCCAGCAUCUCCAGAUAAACCAGUGGAAUGCAGUAAUGAAAUUUUGACGAAACCGUUGAUUCGCCCCUCGGAACUUCCAAUUUACGUGUAUGAAUCAGGGAGUCAACAAGUUCCACGCGUUAACAAUCAAGAUUCAUCGAGCAUGUUGGAGCAGGGAUUUGGUACUAUUCGAAAGAACGUUCAGGCCGUCUUGAAUGAAUAUACAACUGUCACUACUACAGUCAGUGAUAAAUUUCAGACAGGAGUUGAACACAGUCAAUUAAUGCUGGAGUAUUUACGAGAAGAAACGAAUACGUUACCUCGAGUUGGCGCCGUAGCAAUUGGUGGUCUCACAGGAUUGAUAUUCAGCCUUCGAGGCGGUAAAUUCAAGCGAUUCGUUUAUACAACAACUGGUGCUCUAGGAAUCGCCGCUGUGUGUUAUCCAAGGCAGACAGAAGCGAGUAUUGUUGCUGCAAAGCACUAUGCGAAUAUCGUUAUAAAUUUUGCAUACGGAGUCAAACCAGGGGAAAAACAAAUGGAGAUACCUUGGCCGGAAUUGCCAUUAUUCAAAAUGCCGUCAUCAUUUUCAGAUAUCAUUAAUAUUGUUUCUGAAACAGGUUCUAGUGUUGUUUCUAGUGUUGGUUCACUAGGUAGUAAAUUAACUGAUGGUGCGCAAGAACAGGUAGCAAUUGCGAGUGUGAAAAAGACGAAUAUGGUUAUAAUUCUAAAUCUAACGAUUUGAAUUCUACCGAGGAUUCACAAGAGAUAAUCGAAGUGCCAAAUCCAAAGCAAUUACAGUCAGUUGAAAGAACUAACCGAUGGUGGCGAAAAUUCAUUUAAGACAUCAGCAGAAGCGGUUUCACCCCAACUCCAAAACAAAAAGGAAUAAUGUAAAGACGAUGUAUUUAGCUGAUUGGUAGCUGCCGAAUGAAAAGUAAUUGUCAAUAAUGAAGAAAAUUUAUAACGAAUUAUACAGAUCAUUGGAAUUAAUAAAAUCUUGUAUAUAACUUACACUUCAA